GACAGGAGCGGGCGGGCGAGCCCACCUCCCGGCACUGGAUUUGUUCUGAAAUGACCACCCUCCCCAAGAUGAUUUCUUACUGUGACUGCAUCUUUUCACCUGGAUUUUUUCUACCUCUACCACAAAAAUCAGGAUAAACAAGUAAAAGAAAAAAAUGUAACCAGCUGAGACCAAACACCACCACCAGGCAGUGUAUUUUUUAAUUCUCCAGCACCUUUACUGAAAAAAAAACUGAAAUUUGGACAAUGACCUCUAUAUAUCAGUUUUAUAAAGUAAAAUUACUCAUUGUAUUCUCUAUUUCUAGGCAAUGUUUUAUUUGUAUUUUGUAAAAUGAAUUUUAAAUUACUCAUUUCAAUAUGUUAAGGGAAAAAUAACUAAUUGUGUUUCAUCUCAUCAUCAAAUAGUAUUGGGCUUCCCCCUUACAGAGUGCUAGUGGCUCCAUCAGUCCCUCAUGCUAUUGAGUUAUUCGUCUAUCCAGUUAAAAAUUGUGCUGACAUUUUACAUACAGUGCGAGUGGGUCCAAAACCAAAAGGGAUCACAGAAGUGCUCUUUCUUCUCCCACUUAAAGUCCUGAAACCUAAACACCGUUAAAAAAAAAAAAAUCUACAAGUCUUAAAUAAGUAAAAAAAAAAAAAAAAGGUUCAACUCUAAGAAUCAUUAAUAAUUUGUUGAAAGAACCAAUUUUGAAAACCAGAAUUUAAAAACACACACAACACAACCUGUGCAGACAAAGGGCCUCAAAGUCUUUGGAUUCUGAAGAGAAAGUACAACCAUCAUCCUUCAGGCUGUCCCUCAUAUUCUGAAGCAUUGUGCUAUGUGCUUAGUAGGCACACGAUAUCCUACAGUGAGCCCCUCUUCGGCUUAGUCAAUAAUACCCAAAGGACCUCCAAAUAAAAAGCUAUUUCCCUACUAUUAGAAUUAUGCUCACAAUUCUUAAAACUGUUACAGCUUAUAAAAUGCUUUGUUUUCUGUAAGUUUUUUAUAUGUUGGGAAGCUGCUCCAAAAUAUAUAGUCUCUGAAGGCAUCUUUAAAUCAUUGUAUUAAUAGAAUAAAUUGAGUCCAAAUAAGGAUCAGAAACACAGAGGAAUGGAGAGAUAUUUUCCUUACAUCAAAUUAUCCCUGGAGGUAAGGCAAAAUGACCUGCAUUUGCAACAGGAAUUUACUGCACCUCCGUAUCUUGACACUCAACUCUUCUAAGCAACGUGAUAGUUUUAUUUUUUCACGUUAGAUCCAUAAAUUCACUGUACUUUUAAAUAGUGUUUUAGUAUAUAAAACAACCUGUUAAAA